rnacentral:rRNA from 1 species
AUUGAACGCUGGCGGCAGGCCUAACACAUGCAAGUCGAGCGGAUGAAGGGAGCUUGCUCCUGGAUUCAGCGGCGGACGGGUGAGUAAUGCCUAGGAAUCUGCCUGGUAGUGGGGGAUAACGUCCGGAAACGGGCGCUAAUACCGCAUACGUCCUGAGGGAGAAAGUGGGGGAUCUUCGGACCUCACGCUAUCAGAUGUGCCUAGGUCGGAUUAGCUAGUUGGUGGGGUAAAGGCCUACCAAGGCGACGAUCCGUAAAUGGUCUGAGAGGAUGAUCAGUCACACUGGAACUGAGACACGGUCCAGACUCCUACGGGAGGCAGCAGUGGGGAAUAUUGGACAAUGGGCGAAAGCCUGAUCCAGCCAUGCCGCGUGUGUGAAGAAGGUCUUCGGAUUGUAAAGCACUUUAAGUUGGGAGGAAGGGCAGUAAGUUAAUACCUUGCUGUUUUGACGUUACCAACAGAAUAAGCACCGGCUAACUUCGUG